rnacentral:rRNA from 1 species
GACGAACGCUGGCGGCGUGCCUAAUACAUGCAAGUCGAGCGGAUGACAGAGGAGCUUGCUCCUCUAGAUUCAGCGGCGGACGGGUGAGUAACACGUGGGCAACCUGCCCUGUAGAUUGGGAUAACUCCGGGAAACCGGGGCUAAUACCGAAUAAUCCUUCGGACCUCAUGGUCCGAUGUUGAAAGACGGCUUCGGCUGUCACUACAGGAUGGGCCCGCGGCGCAUUAGCUAGUUGGUGAGGUAACGGCUCACCAAGGCCACGAUGCGUAGCCGACCGGAGGGGGUGAUCGGCCACACUGGGACGGAGACACGGCCCAGACUCCUACGGGAGGCAGCAGUAGGGAAUCUUCCACAAUGGACGAAAGUCUGAUGGAGCAACGCCGCGGGAGUGAAGAAGGUUCUCGGAUCGUAAAACUCUGUUGUGAGGGAAGAACAAGUACCGGAGUAACUGCCGGUACCUUGACGGUACCUCAUUAGAAAGCCACGGCUAACUACGUGCCAGCCGCCGCUGUAAGAC